rnacentral:lncRNA from 1 species
GGAAGAUAGCCGAUUUUGUUAGCGCGAGAUGACAAAACGCCAUUACAACCAGGUUUGAGAGUUUUAGCAGUGUGAUAGAAUUCUUCGGUCUUGUAGUUUUCUUCAUUUCAGGGUUAGCCAUGAGAGGAAUUCUCGUGCGUCUUGCCCUUGCUUGGUAACAAACUCAAGUUAUUAUUAUUUGUAAAAAUGCUUAAUAUAAUGGCUGACUAUCUAACUACCUAUAAAUUUCCUGCCAGGAGGUACGUAGAGGGAGGUUUGGUCCGGUCACAACAGACUUCAACUAAAGUAUCAAUCUGUGCAGGUAUGAAUGGGAGUCAAUCAAAAUAUCCCGGGGGAGAGGUUCUCCCUGAAGCCUACCUGGGACAUCGUUACGGCACAUGUGAACAUUUGUCGUCGAAUCAUAAUCUGUCCCAGGCAGUAACCGCCGGUUUGCCUGCGAAGUUGAGCUGAGUUCAACUUCGCAGGCAAGCCGGCGGUUGUCGACGAUUGUCAGCGAUGAAAAUAUUACAUGUGAACAUCACCUACGGCGCAACGACGAUUCCAUCCAUAUUUACAGGUGGAAUGGUCGAAAAUUGCGCCCAUUCGAUCUGCAUUACGCGCAAAUUUGAGUGCGUCGGCGAUCCAUCGCAGAUGCGCCGGGACCCACUGGAACAGAUCGCCGAACAUUUUCAGUUGCGACCGACGACUACGUCGCAGGUAGGUCGGCGGGAUAUGAGAACCAGGCUUUAUAUGGGUUAUAUAGGUAUAUGUUGCCCCAAAAGGUAUAUCCCGACAACAACUCGCGCGGGUAACGCGCGAGAUGAGUGAACGCUCCCAGCAUUCUUUGCAACAAUAGUUCGGCCAUGUUGUUGAACCGCGAAAGUUGAACGAGACCGAAAAAAGGCAGACUAACAGGGAGAACUUUGCUUGGAGCAGGAGAGCUUUGUUGGCGAGCGAUUGAACUCGGAUUGCAGGGUACUUUUUUAUCAGGAGGACUUCUUUAAGAGUUGAGUAGAGCCGUUGGACUGUUAGAGGUCAAAGUUCUUCACCAUAAACAUUUGUACAGUAGCCGAAGACAGUAGCUGAAGACAAAAUACCUGAGGACAAGACAGGAGGAGGAUAUCAUCGACAAGUUUAUUCUAGAAUGAUGACUCUUUUUGCAAUCCAGGACCAGGUAAACAUUUGUGUUCUUAUGCAAUGAUCAAAUCAAAACUUAACCUGGUUCCUUCAGGGGAAUCCCCCAAGGGCAUCCCUACAGGGUACUCGAGUCAUCAAAUUCUACAGCAGAAAAAGAAUUAAAAUGCACCACUUUUUUUUCCUUCUUAAUUAAUGCACUAUUAUUAUAGGAUCCAAAAAAAGUCAGGGAAAUUUUCGUCUUUCAAAAUCAGGGAAAGUUCAUGGAAUAAAUAGAGAAAAUGGGAAGGUUCCCUUUUGUACUGUACCUUUGGAAAAAAAAAUAACUAGACCAAAGUACUGAUUUAAUUCCAUUCAAAUUAAAACCUACAGCUGUAUAGUACAACACACUUUCAAUAAGUGACCACCAAACUAACUAAGAACAGACUCUACUCAACUUGCACCAACAACUACAGUACUCGCCCCUACAGUAGUCACUAUGGUAUUUCUUGACCUCAACAGAACUCACAUGAUGUUCUUCAACCAGCCUCAACACAGACUUCACCAAAAGUAAACCAGUUGAAGCAGACCAUAACUGAUCAGUCACUGAUUACUACCUUUUCACAAUGGCUUGACAGGGCCAACCAUGGUGUGACUGCUGUGAACACUCAGGGUGUGACCCAGGGUGUGACUUGUCUGGUCUGACAGUCAGGGCAGAUUCGAAGUUGCGGCAAGGACUUUCAUAAGUUACUACUAGAGGAGAAAGCAUCACACUCGAUCUUGAGGCAGUCAAAAAGAAGACUAAGGAGGUAAACCAAACCUAGCACUAACAGGAACAUACAGAGAUAAUUAUGCUACAUAAAUAUGUUCAUAUAAUGGAACUCUGUUAUGCGUAAAGCUCAGUCGGGACUACUCACUGGGCACUUUUUUUUUUUUAAAUUCUAUGCUAUUUUUUUCAGGGUUCGUAAACUUCGGAGUCCGGAGAAAGCGUUUCAAUAUUUAGAACCGUAGACUUAAAGAAUUCAUAGUUCUAAAUAUUGGAAUCUGUUUCGUUUGUGUCAAAUUUCUCCUUUCCAGUCUUCGUAAAUAAACAUGGUGGGCGCUGAAGGGAAGUCUUCUUUACUUUUGCUCGGCUUUUACCCUACUCAAUUGCUUGAACGCGCUGGUCAAGACUGCAACUCGAUUAUUUAGCUUUUCAUCCCCGUCAGGCGUAAUCACAGAAAUUGAGUCAAAGAAGUUCGAUAGCACUCACAUUGAAAAGUCAAAGAGAGACAGAACUCAGAAGUAAGACGAUCAAAACUGAAGAAGUACGAGUAAAGCUGUAAUG